rnacentral:rRNA from 1 species
GACGAACGCUGGCGGCGUGCUUAACACAUGCAAGUCGAACGAUGAAGCUGGAGCUUGCUCUAGCGGAUUAGUGGCGAACGGGUGAGUAACACGUGAGCAAUCUGCCCUUGACUCUGGGAUAACUGCGGGAAACUGUAGCUAAUACCGGAUACUUUCACCGGGGGGCAUCCUCUGGUGAUGAAAGAAUUUCGGUCAAGGAUGAGCUCGCGGCCUAUCAGCUUGUUGGUGAGGUAACGGCUCACCAAGGCGACGACGGGUAACCGGCCUGAGAGGGUGACCGGUCACACUGGAACUGAGACACGGUCCAGACUCCUACGGGAGGCAGCAGUGGGGAAUAUUGGACAAUGGGCGCAAGCCUGAUCCAGCCAUGCCGCGUGAGUGAAGAAGGCCCUCGGGUUGUAAAGCUCUUUUGUCCGGAAAGAAAAGCUUUCGGUUAAUACCCGGAAGUCCUGACGGUACCGGAAGGAUAAGCACCGGCUAAC